GGCUCAGGACGAACGCUGGCGGCGUGCUUAACACAUGCAAGUCGAACGAGAAUCUGCUGAAGGAGGAUUCGUCCAACGGAAGCAGAGGAAAGUGGCGGACGGGUGAGUAACGCGUGAGGAACCUGCCUUGAAGAGGGGGACAACAGUUGGAAACGACUGCUAAUACCGCAUGUCGCAUAGAGGUCGCAUGAUCUAUAUGCCAAAGAUUUAUCGCUUCAAGAUGGCCUCGCGUCUGAUUAGCUGGUUGGCGGGGUAACGGCCCACCAAGGCGACGAUCAGUAGCCGGACUGAGAGGUUGAACGGCCACAUUGGGACUGAGAUACGGCCCAGACUCCUACGGGAGGCAGCAGUGGGGAAUAUUGGGCAAUGGGCGCAAGCCUGACCCAGCAACGCCGCGUGAAGGAAGAAGGCUUUCGGGUUGUAAACUUCUUUUAAGAGGGAAGAGCAGAAGACGGUACCUCUAGAAUAAGCCACGGCUAACUACGUGCCAGCAGCCGCGGUAAUACGUAGGUGGCAAGCGUUGUCCGGAUUUACUGGGUGUAAAGGGCGUGCAGCCGGGUCUGCAAGUCAGAUGUGAAAUCCAUGGGCUCAACCCAUGAACUGCAUUUGAAACUGUGGAUCUUGAGUGUCGGAGGGGCAAUCGGAAUUCCUAGUGUAGCGGUGAAAUGCGUAGA
rnacentral:rRNA from 1 species